UGAGUGCGAGCGGCUACGGCCGCGAAGUGAGUGAUGUCAAGCUUCCAAGAAAAGCCCUAUACCCGUUAAGGCAUGAUGGCCUGUACCCGAAACCGACACAGGUUGGGUGGUAGAGAAUACCGAGGGGCGCGAGGUAACUCUCUCUAAGGAACUCGGCAAAAUGGCCCCGUAACUUCGGGAGAAGGGGUGCCACCGCAAGGUGGUCGCAGUGAAGAGGCCCAGGCGACUGUUUACCAAAAACACAGGUCUCCGCUAAGUCGCAAGACGAUGUAUGGGGGCUGACGCCUGCCCAGUGCCGGAAGGUUAAGGAAGCUGGUCAGCGCAAGCGAAGCUGGCGACUGAAGCCCCGGUGAACGGCGGCCGUAACGAUAACGGUCCUAAGGUAGCGAAAUUCCUUGUCGGGUAAGUUCCGACCCGCACGAAAGGCGUAACGAUCUGGGCGCUGUCUCGGAGAGAGGCUCGGCGAAAUAGAAUUGUCUGUGAAGAUGCGGACUACGUGCACCCGGACAGAAAGACCCUAUGAAGCUUUACUGUAGCUUGGUAUUGUGCCCGGGCUCUGAAUGCGCAGGAUAGGUGGGAGGCUUUGAUCCAUGGCUUGCGGGUCAUGGUGAGCCAACGGUGAGAUACCACUCUUUCAGAGCUAGGGUUCUAACGGUCACCCGUCAUCCGGGGACCGGACAGUAUCAGGUGGGCAGUUUGACUGGGGCGGUCGCCUCCUAAAAGUUAACGGAGGCGCGCAAAGGUUUGCUCAGGCUGGUUGGAAAUCAGCCGACGAGUGCAAAAGCAGAAGCAAGCUUGACUGUGAGACCUACAAGUCGAACAGGGACGAAAGUCGGCUUUAGUGAUCCGACGGUUCUGAGUGGAAGGGCCGUCGCUCAACGGAUAAAAGUUACUCUAGGGAUAACAGGCUGAUCUCCCCCAAGAGUUCACAUCGACGGGGAGGUUUGGCACCUCGAUGUCGGCUCAUCGCAACCUGGGGCUGAAGUCGGUCCCAAGGGUUGGGCUGUUCGCCCAUUAAAGCGGUACGCGAGCUGGGUUCAGAACGUCGUGAGACAGUUCGGUCCAUAUCCGGUGCACGCGCAGGAACAUUGAGAGGAUUUCUCCCUAGUACGAGAGGACCGGGAGGAACGCACCUCUGGUGUGCCAGUUAUCGUGCCAACGGUAAACGCUGGGUAGCCAUGUGCGGAGUGGAUAACCGCUGAAAGCAUCUAAGUGGGAAGCCCACCUCAAGAUGAGUGUUCCCAUGGCAUAAGCCAGUAAGGUCACGGGAAGAACACCCGUUGAUAGGCUCUACGUGGAAGCCGGGUAACCGGUGAAGCGGAGGAGUACUAAUAGACCGAGGGCUUGAUC
rnacentral:rRNA from 1 species